UAACACGUAAACAACCUGCCUUCAGGAUGGGGAAAACAGACGGAAACGACUGCUAAUACCGAAUGUGUUCCGGGGACCGCAUGAUUUCCGGAAGAAAGGAUGGCCUCUAUUUAUAAGCUAUCGCCUGAAGAGGGGUUUGCGUCUGAUUAGGCAGUUGGUGAGGUAACGGCCCACCAAACCUACGACCAGUAGCCGGUCUGAGAGGAUGAACGGCCACACUGGAACUGAGACACGGUCCAGACUCCUACGGGAGGCAGCAGUGGGGAAUCUUCCGCAAUGGACGAAAGUCUGACGGAGCAACGCCGCGUGAGUGAUGACGGCCUUCGGGUUGUAAAGCUCUNUUAUCGGGGACGAAUGGCUGGUAUGCUAAUACCAUAUCAGAGUGACGGUACCCGAAUAGCAAGCCACGGCUAACUACGUGCCAGCAGCCGCGGUAAUACGUAGGUGGCAAGCGUUGUCCGGAAUUAUUGGGCGUAAAGCGCGCGCAGGCGGCUUCUUAAGUCCAUCUUAAAAGUGCGGGGCUUAACCCCGUGAUGGGAUGGAAACUGGGAGGCUGGAGUAUCGGAGAGGAAAGUGGAAUUCCUAGUGUAGCGGUGAAAUGCGUAGAGAUUAGGAAGAACACCGGUGGCGAAGGCGACUUUCUGGACGACAACUGACGCUGAGGCGCGAAAGCGUGGGGAGCAAACAGGAUUAGAUACCCUGGUAGU
rnacentral:rRNA from 1 species